ensembl:lncRNA
GGGGUCUGGUGGGGGGGAAGGGGGUGAAUGUGCUCAGCUCUGACCACCAGGGCUAAAUAGUAGAGUAGAGUAGAGUAGAGUAGAGUAGAGUAGAGUAGAGUAGAGUAGAGCUACAGUAGAGUACAGUACAGUACAGUACAGUAGAGUAGAGUAGAGUAGAGUACAGUAGAGUAGAGCUACAGUAGAGUAGAGUACAGUACAGUACAGUACAGUAGAGUACAGCUACAGUAGAGUACAGUAGAGUAGAGUAGAGUACAGCUACACUAGAGUAGAGUAGAGUACAGCUACAGUAGAGUAGAGCUACAGUAAAGUACAGUAGAGUACAGUAGGGUACAGUAGAGUACAGUAGAGUAGAGUAGAGUACAGUAGAGUAGAGUACAGUAGAGUACAGUAGAGUAUAGUAGAGUAGAGCAGAGUAGAGUACAGUAGAGUAGAGUACAGUAGAGUAGACUACAGUAGAGUACAGUACAGUAGAGUACAGUAGAGUAGAGUAGAGUAGAGUACAGUAGAGUAGAGCUACACUAGAGUAGAGUAGAGUACAGCUAUAGUAGACUACAGCUACAGCCUUACAGUAGCAGAGGAACACAUCCAUGGAGACAGAGGGGAGAGAGAGAGAGAGAGAGAGAGAGAGAGAGAGAG